GAUGAACGCUGGCGGCGUGCCUAAUACAUGCAAGUCGAGCGAACAGACGAGGAGCUUUCUCCUCUUACGUUAGCGGCGGACGGGUGAGUAACACGUGGAUAACCUACCUAUAAGACUGGGAUAACUUCGGGAAACCGGAGCUAAUACCGGAUAAUAUAUUGAACGGCAUGGUUCAAUAGUGAAAGACGGUUUUGCUGUCACUUAUAGAUGUAUCCGCGCCGCAUUAGCUAGUUGGUAAGGUAACGGCUUACCAAGGCAACGAUGCGUAGCCGACCUGAGAGGGUGAUCGGCCACACUGGAACUGAGACACGGUCCAGACUCCUACGGGAGGCAGCAGUAGGGAAUCUUCCGCAAUGGGCGAAAGCCUGACGGAGCAACGCCGCGUGAGUGAUGAAGGUCUUCGGAUCGUAAAACUCUGUUAUUAGGGAAGAACAAAUGUGUAAGUAACUAUGCACGUCUUGACGGUACCUAAUCAGAAAGCCACGGCUAACUACGUG
rnacentral:rRNA from 1 species